rnacentral:rRNA from 1 species
GACGAACGCUGGCGGCGUGCUUAACACAUGCAAGUCGAACGGAAAGGCCCCUUUGGGGGUACUCGAGUGGCGAACGGGUGAGUAACACGUGAGUAACCUGCCCUUGACUUCGGGAUAACUUCAGGAAACUGGGGCUAAUACCGGAUAGGAAUCCUUGCUGCAUGGUGGGGGUUGGAAAGCUUCGGCGGUUUUGGAUGGACUCGCGGCUUAUCAGCUUGUUGGUGGGGUAGUGGCUUACCAAGGCUUUGACGGGUAGCCGGCCUGAGAGGGUGACCGGCCACAUUGGGACUGAGAGACGGCCCAGAUGCCUACGGGAGGAAGCAGUGGGGAAUAUUGCACAAUGGGCGGAGGCCUGAUGCAGCAACGCCGCGUGCGGGAUGACGGCCUUCGGGUUGUAAACCGGCUUCAGCAGGGGCGAAGCUUGUGGUGACGGUACCUGCAGAAGAAGCACCGGCUAACUACGUG